GGCCUAGAAACCCAUCGACUGUUAUCUGGGUUCCCCCGGACGUUUAUUUCCGAUGCCGUUUGACCCGGGCUGGGGGCCCUCAGGGGUCCUGGGGCCCCACGGCUGCCUCUUGUGGAGGGUCCGGGGCUGGGACCUGGGGCAGUGGGAGGAUUCACCCCGGCGGCCUCUGACUCCAAAGCUGCUCUCUCCCUGCUGCACCCGCCUGUUCUAAGGGCCCUGGGUUCUGGGUCCAGGACGGCCGUGGAUCGGCCAGAGGCUCGGCCCGGGGUCACACAGCCCGGGGUCCGGGCCGCCGCCCCUUCCGCUCCCUGGGGGGGGGACCCUCCCAACCCAGGCACCUGCUCCCCCUCCCGCUCCGGCCGGGUCAAGGGGCAGGGUCGGGCGGUCCCCGAGAGAGCGAAGGCCCCGACGCUGCCCCCUGCGCGACAUCUCUCCCGCCCCUGAGACACAUGACGUCACGGAUCCUCCGUCGCCCAGCCGCGAGAUGAGGAAACUGAGGCAAACACAGAGGACUUGCCCAGGCAGGCUCUGGGGCGGCCCCAGUGCCCACCAGUUCCAGGGACUGUAGAAAGUUCCCAGCUCUAGCUGGGCACAGACUGAUAAGGAGAACCUCACCCGCAGACUGGCUGGGAAAGGGCUUUGGAGAGCCCGGCCCUGCCUCCCAGCAGGAAAUGUGGAAGAGACUUCCCGUCUCAGGCUGGAGUUGCCUGCAUUUUGUGAUCUCCAGGCCCGGCUUCUACACUGUAUUCCUAAAAAAUGGGCUAAAUGCAAAUUUAAUAGCCAGAACUCGUUUUGAAGAUACUAAGGGAGCUCGGUCCCUAAAACUGGGGCCCUCGGUCUUUUCUGAGUGUGCCAUUGACCGUGUUGGGAGCCUGGCAAAGCCCUUUGGACCCCUUCUCGGAAUGGUAUUGGAUAAAAUGAAACAGCUACGACAUGUUAAAGAAAUUGUAAACACCCGGAUUCACCGACCACAGAUGAAGAGUCUCUGACGGAAGCUCCACAAUUAAACCUUUCU